GAGUUUGAUCGUGGCUCCAGAUUGAACGCUGGCGGCAUGCCUUACACAUGCAAGUCGAACGGCAGCACGGGAGCUUGCUCCUGGUGGCGAGUGGCGAACGGGUGAGUAAUGCAUCGGAACGUAUCCUGGAGUGGGGGAUAACGUAGCGAAAGUUACGCUAAUACCGCAUAUUCUGUGAGCAGGAAAGCGGGGGACCUUCGGGCCUCGCGCUCUUGGAGCGGCCGAUGUCGGAUUAGCUAGUUGGUGAGGUAAAGGCUCACCAAGGCGACGAUCCGUAGCAGGUCUGAGAGGAUGAUCUGCCACACUGGAACUGAGACACGGUCCAGACUCCUACGGGAGGCAGCAGU
rnacentral:rRNA from 1 species